UGGGGAAUCUUGCGCAAUGGGCGAAAGCCUGACGCAGCCAUGCCGCGUGAAUGAUGAAGGUCUUAGGAUUGUAAAAUUCUUUCAGCAGGGACGAUAAUGACGGUACCUGCAGAAGAAGCCCCGGCUAACUUCGUGCCAGCAGCCGCGGUAAUACGAAGGGGGCUAGCGUUGCUCGGAAUUACUGGGCGUAAAGGGCGCGUAGGCGGGUCGUUUAGUUAGAGGUGAAAGCCCAGGGCUCAACCCUGGAAUUGCCUUUAAUACUGGCGGCCUUGAGUAUGGCAGAGGUGUGUGGAACUCCGAGUGUAGAGGUGAAAUUCGUAGAUAUUCGGAAGAACACCAGUGGCGAAGGCGACACACUGGGCCAUUACUGACGCUGAGGCGCGAAAGCGUGGGGAGCAAACAGGAUUAGAUACCCUGGUAGUCCACGCUGUAAACGAUGAGUGCUAGUUGUCGGCAUGCAUGCAUGUCGGUGACGCAGCUAACGCAUUAAGCACUCCGCUUGGGGAGUACGGUCGCAAGAUUA
rnacentral:rRNA from 1 species